GACGAACGCUGGCGGCGUGCUUAACACAUGCAAGUCGAACGGAAAGGCCCUGCUUUUGUGGGGUGCUCGAUUGGCGAACGGGUGAGUAACACGUGAGUAACCUGCCCUUGACUUUGGGAUAACUUCAGGAAACUGGGGCUAAUACCGGAUAGGAGCUCCUGCUGCAUGGUGGGGGUUGGAAAGUUUCGGCGGUUGGGGAUGGACUCGCGGCUUAUCAGCUUGUUGGUGGGGUAGUGGCUUACCAAGGCUUUGACGGGUAGCCGGCCUGAGAGGGUGACCGGCCACAUUGGGACUGAGAUACGGCCCAGACUCAUACGGGAGGAAGCAGUGGGGAAUAUUGCACAAUGGGCGGAAGCAUGAUGCAGCAACGCCGCGUGCGGGAUGACGGCCUUCGGGUUGUAAACCGCUUUCGCCUGUGACGAAGCGUGAGUGACGGUAAUGGGUAAAGAAGCACCGGCUAACUACGU
rnacentral:rRNA from 1 species